rnacentral:rRNA from 1 species
CGACGUGAGCAAUCUGCCUUUGGAUGGGGGAUAACAGCCGGAAACGGCUGCUAAUACCGCAUAAUGCAACGGGACCGCAUGGUUCUGCUGCCAAAGAUUUAUUGUCCAAAGAUGAGCUCGCGUCUGAUUAGCCAGUUGGCGGGGUAACGGCCCACCAAAGCGACGAUCAGUAGCUGGUCUGAGAGGACGACCAGCCACACUGGGACUGAGACACGGCCCAGACUCCUACGGAAGGCAGCAG